AAGAAAAGAAAAAAGGGCACUCCGAUAGGACAGAAACAGAACAUGGGAGGGGACAAUCUGGGAAUAAAAGCUAGCCGCUCCCCCUCAACCCCAGCGCGCAGGCAACCUGCUCUGGUCCUCGGUCCACGCUGUGGAAGCUUUGUUGAAGGUUUGUUCUUUCGCUUUUCACAAUAAAUGUUGCUGCUGCUCGCUCUUUGGUCCCGUGCCAUCUUUAAGAGCUGCAACACUCACAUGAAGGUCCACGGCUCCAUUCUUGAAGUUAGCCAGACCAUGAACCCACCGGAAGGAACCAACUCCGGACACAUUAGGGCUGCCUUCAGCCUGGUCCAAAAAGCCAAGGUGGGCUGUGUCUGUGGUGACUUGUACCCAACCUGGCAGGGAUGGACCGUAAAAGGACAGGAUCCAGGAAGGAAGGAACGCUGCUUACCGGGUUCUACCCUCCUGGGCCUCAGAAUCUUGGCUCUCGAAGUCGGUUCGUCCCCGUGACUGAGGUUUAGCCUUAAUACCUACACAUGUUCUUGAACUUGGACUUUAUGAAAAGUACAAAUGAUUGAUAUUUUAAAUGGCUUAACCCUCCCAGACUCAAAAUGAGAGCUCAAUGUAAUUAAACUAUAUGGAAAAUAUUUUGAUUGUGCUUAUCAGGCAAUACUUAAUAGUAUCCACGAUGUGUCAGACUUUCUAAGGACUUACUGAAUCAUCAGACGUUUUGAGGGGAGAUAGAAUUAUCUCCAUUUUACAGAUGGAGAAACUAAAGUCCAGCAAGGCUAGAUAACUUGCCUGAGGGCACAGAGCUAGUAAAUGGCAGAGCUCAUUACCAAUGCCUUAAACUUCCUCGCAACUCAGGCGUAAUUAAUAAGCACACAGCUAGUAAGAAAUGGCUAAGUGGAUGUCCAGCUCUUUCCCUGAUUGAAUUAGAGUUUGUUCCUUAUUUGGGGGAGCUUGGACCUUCUCUGGGGCCCCAAGGUCUUUAUACUGCACAGGAGGUUUGGGGUUUGGCACUGUCUCUAAGCCCUUUGUCGCUCAUUGUGUGUCUGCAGUUGCUUCGAGUUCACCUGAGCACUGGUUCUGUAGCAACAGCAUUCCCAAGGAGGUUUGUGCCCUCUGAGAUGUAGUAUGCAGGAUGCCAGGUUCUGAUGGAUGCCAGGGCAUGGCUGCCUUCUUGAUGUAAAGGCUCAGUGCCCUGACCUGGGUACUCUGUAAUUACGCUACCCAUGUGAUGCCCUCUGCCUCUUCUCCCUGUUCUCGUGAGGUGAGCAUGGGAGGGGACUGAUCCACUUUUCUGGACAGCAAGAAUAGCUUCUUGAUUGAAACGGAUGCUCUACUGGACAAAAGAUGUGACUGUCUUGACCCCUCCUAGGGAACAUCAUUGAUCAUCCUCAGCGUUUCUGCAGCCCAGGAGUGGUCAUGUUUAACGUUUUUUUAGCCAAGACCCCAUGGGUUUCAUACCUGAUGAGGAGUGCCAUCCGGAGGAUGAGGGGUGUGGGCAAAUCAGAAGACCUCUGGAGCCUUCCAGAUUGCAUGAGCAGCAGCCGGCUGGCAGCCAUCCAAAGUGGGGAAUCAGGAACUCGAGCUGAGCAAAUGCGUUGUACCUGUGGAGGGGCAGUUUGGAGCUACCACCUCCAGGAGCCUUCUCUGAGCCUAGCCCCAUGAAGAAGAGGGAAGGAAGGCGGAGGGAGGGAAGCCCAAACUUGCAGCAGCAGCAGCAGCGGCGACUGGUAUUUCCCACCCAAGGGCCCGGGAUACGUUUGAUGAUGCCCAGAUGUUACAGGGCACCUGCUGCAUCUAUGUCCUUUUCCAGACAGAAGAACACCACCCACCUGGGAAAUAGGACAUGUACACGACGUAAGAGCUGAGGACCCAGGGCAGCAUUGCCUGGAGGGGCUGCAGGGAAGAGGGGUUCUCGUCUCAGUUUUACAGAAGACGAAAAAGGCUCGGGGAGAUGACAGAGACUCAGUAGGUCCCUGGCAAGGCCUGGUCAUCUGGCAAGGUGAAGAGGACCUCAGAAACCACUGCAGGGCCAGAGUAACAGGAAAGAGACCCAUUAUUCAAGACAGAUGAUGUAAUGUGAAUAAAAGAGUGAACAUUU